rnacentral:lncRNA from 1 species
CGCAGAACUGUUCAGCUGCGCUGACUGCACGCACCAUAUGCUGCUGCUGGCGGGACAAUAAACACCGUAGAGCCGCUCUUGAUAGUCGCGGUAGCACGGUCCCGUGUUGUUUCCACGAGCGCGGCAAUUUUUUCAUCACUAAUUGAUGGAUGUCUAAAAUAUAAAAAUAAGGAGAAGCCUAAAACAGGCCCGAGGCCCGCGUCUGAACUAUGAUGUAAAAAUUGGCACGAAGCCCGGCCCGAAGGGGCGUAAAAAAGUCGGGGCCCGUCGGGCCGGGCUGAAAUGCAGGGCUCUACUCCAUCCCCCCUAUAGGACCCCUCUCUCGAUACACUGGUUAUGCUUUUGCCUCCUCGGCCGCCUUUUUCAAAUAGGUGCAGCGCGUCCUCGCGGUGCUGUAGAUAAGAAAAUGCAUGAUCUGGAGCAGAGCAGAACGCGGGACCCGAGCGUUUUUAAUCCAUUUCAUAUGGAAGUUGAGCUUUGCGCAAUUUAGGAAUGAACUGAAAAAGUUCGCGCACACACACAUAAACAUGCACGUUAAACAUAAAGAAGAGGACAACUCUAUCAGGCAGCCUGAAUCGAAAAAAGAGGAGGAAAAGAGGAAACAGGACAAAGGUGAACGGAGGUCCUACGGAUUUUGAACAACAUGAGGAAAUUCGUCUAGCCCUCCGAACUGGGCAGAUUUCACCGCGUCUGACCAAUCAAAGGUAAGAAACGUAGUCGCCUGGGCAACAUUCAUAUAUAAAGUGAGGUCAGUCCGUUAUAAUGUUAUUA